CGUGUAGGCGGUCAGGUAAGUGGAAUGUGAAAUGCCCCGGCUCACCCGGGGACCGGCAUCCCAAACUGCCUGGCUUGAGUAUGGGAGAGGAUGGAGGAAUUCCUGGUGUAGCGGUGAAAUGCGUAGAUAUCAGGAGGAACACCGGUGGCGAAGGCGUCCAUCUGGCCCAAUACUGACGCUGAGGCGCGAAAGCUAGGGGGGCAAACG
rnacentral:rRNA from 1 species